UGGAUUAAAAAAAUCAUAAACAUGUGAAAGACAGAAUUUGUUUUGGAUUCAGAAAAGGAAUUAUAAACAUGCAUAUCAGUUGCCUUAUAGAAAUAGAAGUUAAUUUUGUUCUAAUCUAACGGUACUUAUUUGUUCAAUAUACGAUCCAACGGAUGAUAAGCUUUUGGACCAUGUGACCAUGCGACCAAAUUAUCUCCCUUACGCUUAUUAUAUAUA
rnacentral:lncRNA from 1 species